GACGAACGCUGGCGGCGUGCUUAAUACAUGCAAGUCGAACGGUGAAGCGCGUUCCUUUCUGGUGUGUGUGUAUGGGCGGCGAACGGGUGAGUAAGACGUUAGUAACCUUCCCCCUCCUGCAGGAUAACCGCAUAACAGUGCUGCUAAUAGGGGAUAUUCUGGGUCUGUCGCAUGAUGGGUCUGGGAAAGAUAUUGUUUCGGUGGGGGAUGGGUCCGCGGCUUAUCAGCUUGUUGGUGGGGUGAUGGCCUACCAAGGCGGUGACGGGUAGCCGGCCUGAGAGGGUGGCCGACCACGCAGCGGCUGCGCCACCGCCACGACUCCUACAGGCGGCAGCAGUGAGGAUUAUUGAACAGUCGGAGGCAGGCUGAUGCAGCGCCGCCGCGGGGGGGAUGGUGGCCUUAGGGUUGAAAACUUCUUUCGGGAGUGAAGCAGGGCUGCAUCGUUUGUGCGUGGGUUGACGGUAGCUGGAUAAGAAGCGCCGGCUAACUACGUG
rnacentral:rRNA from 1 species